rnacentral:rRNA from 1 species
GACGAACGCUGGCGGCGUGCUUAACACAUGCAAGUCGAACGGUGAAGGGAUCAGCUUGCUGGUUCUGGAUGAGUGGCGAACGGGUGAGUAACACGUGAGUAACCUGCCCCCUUCUUCUGGAUAACCGCAUGAAAGUGUGGCUAAUACGGGAUAUUCUGGGUCUGUCGCAUGAUGGGUCUGGGAAAGAUAUUGUUUCGGUGGGGGAUGGGCUCGCGGCCUAUCAGCUUGUUGGUGGGGUGAUGGCCUACCAAGGCGGUGACGGGUAGCCGGCCUGGGAGGGGGGACGGUCACACUGGGACUGAGACACGGCCCAGACUCCUACGGGAGGCAGCAGUGGGGAAUAUUGCACAAUGGGCGCAAGCCUGAUGCAGCGACGCCGCGUGAGGGAUGGAGGCCUUCGGGUUGUAAACCUCUUUCGCCAGUGAAGCAGGCCUGCUCCUUGUGGGUGGGUUGACGGUAGCUGGAUAAGAAGCGCCGGCUAACUACGUG